GUGUGUGUGUGUGUGUGUGAAGCUUUGUGAGUUUGAUAUCAGAAUCACUUGUUUGCCAUUCCAUAAGAAGAAGUGGUGUGUUUGGGCUCGGUUGACGACUAAGGUGUGAAUUAAGCUUCAAUUCAGAUUAGGAUUAGGGAAAAUGUCUGGGUUAGGCAUAAAUUCAGCUCCUAAAAUAAAAAGGAAGUCAAUACAAAGUCCUUUUCCGGGUAGAAAUACAAACGUGUGUGUGUAACUUUAGGAACUUUUUAGUUAAAAUUGCUCAGUCAAAAUUUUUCCCUUCACCUGCUGGUAAGAUUCUCUCAACUCAUGAGAAUCUGACUUUGUGAAAGAAUAUGGAAACGUCUCUCAGAGCUGUUUUCCUUCGCCGUCUGCAUGUAGCAAACAAAUCACCUUCAUCAAGGUCUGCUGGGCGCGCUCCAUCCCCCACCACAUCUGCUCCUCCCUGGGAUUACAGUGCAAAUGUUUGUCUGAAACACCCAGUGCUGAGAGGGGAGAUUAUGGCUGAACUGGCCUCACCGAGAGGAGGGGGGGGGGGGG